UGGGAAUUUUGGACAAUGGGCGCAAGCCUGAUCCAGCCAUGCCGCGUGCGGGAAGAAGGCCUUCGGGUUGUAAACCGCUUUUGUCAGGGAAGAAAUCUUCUGAGUUAAUACCUCGGGAGGAUGACGGUACCUGAAGAAUAAGCACCGGCUAACUACGUGCCAGCAGCCGCGGUAAUACGUAGGGUGCAAGCGUUAAUCGGAAUACUGGGCGUAAAGCGUGCGCAGGCGGUUUUGUAAGACAGAGGUGAAAUCCCCGGGCUCAACCUGGGAACUGCCUUUGUGACUGCAAGGCUUGAGUGCGGCAGAGGGGGAUGGAAUUCCGCGUGUAGCAGUGAAAUGCGUAGAUAUGCGGAGGAACACCGAUGGCGAAGGCAAUCCCCUGGGCCUGCACUGACGCUCAUGCACGAAAGCGUGGGGAGCAAACAGGAUUAGAUCCCUGGUAGUCCACGCCCUAAACGAUGUCAACUGGUUGUUGGGAAGGUUCCUUCUCAGUAACGUAGCUAACGCNUGAAGUUGACCGCCUGGGGAGUACGGCCGCAAGGUUGAAAC
rnacentral:rRNA from 1 species